GACGAACGCUGGCGGCGUGCUUAACACAUGCAAGUCGAACGAAGUGGCGAACGGGUGAGUAACGCGUAAUCAACCUGCCCUUCAGAGGGGGACAACAGUUGGAAACGACUGCUAAUACCGCAUACUGAAGGAGGGGAGUGCGUCGGAUUAGCUAGUUGGAGGGGUAACGGCCCAACAAGGCGAAGAUCAGUAGCCGGUCUGGGAGGGUGGACGGCCACAAUGGGACUUGGACACGGCCCAGACUCCUACGGGAGGGAGCAGUGGGGAAUCUUCCGCAAUGGACGGAAGUCUGACGGAGCAACGCCGCGUGAGUGAUGACGGCCUUCGGGUUGUAAAGCUCUGUUAAUCGGGACGCGGUACCGGAAUAGAAAGCCACGGCUAACUACGUGCCAGCAGCCGCGGUAAUAC
rnacentral:rRNA from 1 species